rnacentral:lncRNA from 1 species
GAUUUGGUGAACACAACUGGUACCAUCCUUGUUUAGGAAGGAUAAGCUAGAGAAUGAAGCCAGUAUACUAAAGCUAUGGCUAUGCAUGCCCUGCCACAAAAGAAGACGCCGAAUCACCCUGCUGCAGACAGGCAGGUCUAUGCACGCCCUACCGAGGUCCUGAGUCACGCGGAAGACACCGAAUCACACUGCUGCAGACAAGCAGCCACCUGGUUCCACACUACAAAGAAGCAGAGGACACCAGACCACCAGACCAAGGUACUGAGUCGCACUGUUCCCAGCCUAGAGGUAGGGGCUUCUGAGCCGUCAU